rnacentral:rRNA from 1 species
UACAGAGGGGGCGAGCGCUGUUCGGAAUUACUGGGCGUAAAGGGCGCGUAGGCGGCCCGCUAAGUCGAACGUGAAAUCCCCAGGCUCAACCUGGGAACUGCGUCCGAUACUGGCAGGCUUGAAUCCGGGAGAGGGAUGUGGAAUUCCAGGUGUAGCGGUGAAAUGCGUAGAUAUCUGGAGGAACACCGGUGGCGAAGGCGGCAUCCUGGACCGGUAUUGACGCUGAGGCGCGAAAGCUAGGGUAGCAAACGGG